CCCUUAGAUGUUCUGGGCUGCACGCGCGCUACACUGAUGCACUCAACGAGUUUACGACCUUGCCCGAUAGGGUUGGGUAAUCUUUUUAAAAUGCAUCGUGAUGGGGAUAGAUUAUUGCAAUUAUUAAUCUUCAACGAGGAAUUCCUAGUAAGCGCGAGUCAUCAGCUCGUGCUGAUUACGUCCCUGCCCUUUGUACACACCGCCCGUCGCUCCUACCGAUUGAGUGCUCAGGUGAAUAAUUCGGACUGCAGCAAUGUUUGGAUCCCGAACGUUGCAGCGGAAAGUUUAGUGAACCUUAUCAUUUAGAGGAAGGAGAAGUCGUAACA
rnacentral:rRNA from 1 species